rnacentral:telomerase_RNA from 1 species
UGAAACAAAUGAGAAUGAAACCCGCCACAGCGAAGCAUGUGUGGGCUACUUGCUCACACUAACCCUAAGCCUUUUUUCCCCUCCGUUCCCUAUAUCUGGCAGUUUUUUAGCUAGUUUUCUGCUGGAUGCGAAGGGGCACGUUUACGUUCGUAGCAAAAGAAACUAGCUUGCUUUGAAAACGAUAAUACGGGUCGAAUUCUCGUGUGUGGAUCGGAGUACACUGCUUGUACUGCUGGUGGGACAGGCGAGACUGCCAAAUUUGGCAGCAUGAAUGUCAUUGCAAGCCGUCUUUGGUGGUUCUUUCUUGUACCAACUCAUCUUGGCAGUCUGUGCACUGUUAUUGGUUAUCUUUCACACAGAGCAAACAUGGUGCAUAAUAUGCCUUCUUCCAAGCUGUGGAAUUAGGAUGAUAUUGUACCAGACAUUU